AAACGGUAGUCGGCCGUAUCAAAUUAUAAACCUGGUACCUUUGAAAGCUGUCAAUUAUAUUUGGUGUCUGGAAUGAUAGUAAGGUGUACAUGUCAAACUGACAGGUUUCAUGGUUUAUUGGAAAAUGUUCAGUUUUUGUCUGUUUUUCAAAUACUACAACAUGUACAAGCAAAAGAGCCACAUUUUGUGAUGUAUGGACUGAUUGUCAGGUGUUCAUGUCCAUCUGGCAGAUUUCGUCCUACCUCGAAUACA
rnacentral:lncRNA from 1 species